ACCCACAGCCAUAUCGCCCUGCAGCCCAAGACCGGUUACUCACUGAAGCUAAGCAGGGCUGAGCCUGGUUAGUACCUGGAUGGGAGACCACUAGGGAACACUAGGUUGCUGUUGGAA
rnacentral:rRNA from 1 species